UAGUCCUAGCCGUAAACGAUGGAUACUAGACCUUACUACUAGUAGGGUCGUAGCUAACGCGUUAAGUAUCCCGCCUGGGUAGUACGGUCGCAAGUCUGAAACUCAAAGGAAUUGACGGGGACCCGCACAAGCAGUGGAGCAUGUGGUUUAAUUCGAUGCAACGCGAAAACCUUACCUGGGCUUGAACUGUAGGCAUUAGCAACCUGAAAGGGAUUGUGAUUCGUCUUUGACGAAACCUAUAGAGGUGCUGCAUGGCUGUCGGCAGCUCGUGUCGUGAGAUGUUGGGUUAAGUCCCGCAACGAGCGAAACCCUUGUUCUUAGUUGUCAGCGAGUAAUGUCGGAUACUUUAAGAAGACUGCCGGUGAUAAAUCGGAGGAAGGUGGGGAUGACGUCAAGUCAGCAUGGCCUUUAUGUCCAGGGCUACACACGUGCUACAAUGGGUGGUACAACGGGAAGCUAAACCGCGAGGUGGCGCAAAUCCUUAAAACCAUUCUUAGUUCGGAUUGCAGGCUGC
rnacentral:rRNA from 1 species